CAGAGUUACUGUAUGCGGUACGGAUAUUGGGCGUAAGAGCUCGUAGGCGGUUUGUCGCGUCUGCUGUGAAAUCCGGAGGCUCAACCUCCGGCCUGCAGUGGGUACGGGCAGACUAGAGUGCGGUAGGGGAGAUUGGAAUUCCUGGUGUAGCGGUGGAAUGCGCAGAUAUCAGGAGGAACACCGAUGGCGAAGGCAGAUCUCUGGGCCGUAACUGACGCUGAGGAGCGAAAGGGUGGGGAGCAAACAGGCUUAGAUACCCUGGUAGUCCACCCCGUAAACGUUGGGAACUAGUUGUGGGGUCCAUUCCACGGAUUCCGUGACGCAGCUAACGCAUUAAGUUCCCCGCCUGGGGAGUACGGCCGCAAGGCUAAAACUCAAAGGAAUUGACGGGGACCCGCACAAGCGGCGGAGCAUGCGGAUUAAUUCGAUGCAACGCGAAGAACCUUACCAAGGCUUGACAUAUACGAGAACGGGCCAGAAAUGGUCAACUCUUUGGACACUCGUAAACAGGUGGUGCAUGGUUGUCGUCAGCUCGUGUCGUGAGAUGUUGGGUUAAGUCCCGCAACGAGCGCAACCCUCGUUCUAUGUUGCCAGCACGUAAUGGUGGGAACUCAUGGGAUACUGCCGGGGUCAACUCGGAGGAAGGUGGGGAUGACGUCAAAUCAUCAUGCCCCUUAUGUCUUGGGCUUCACGCAUGCUACAAUGGCCGGUACAAAGGGCUGCAAUACCGCGAGGUGGAGCGAAUCCCAAAAAGCCGGUCCCAGUUCGGAUUGAGGUCUGCAACUCGACCUCAUGAAGUCGGAGUCGCUAGUAAUCGCAGAUCAGCAACGCUGCGGUGAAUACGUUCCCGGGUCUUGUACACACCGCCCGUCAAGUCAUGAAGUCGGUAACACCUGAAGCCGGUGGCCUAACCCUUGUGGAGGGAGCCGUCGAAGUGGGAUCGGUAAUUAGGACUAAGUCGUACAAAGGUAGCC
rnacentral:rRNA from 1 species